AUGACCCUGCAAGAAAAGAGCUUUGCACAGAUCCUAAUCCGUAUAUUAGCUAGUAUACUGGACAGCUGUGAGACAUCUGGCUCCCAGCCCCUCCUCUCUCAUAGGGGAUUGUGCUGCCUCCUGAAUUUGGGUUCCAGUAUGCCAUAUAACUUGGCAAUUGUAUGCAUUGCCAGAAUAUACAUUUGCUCAUGAGGACAAGGACUACUGGGUACCGCUGUAUUCCCAGCCCAUGGAAGAAUGCCUGUGAAAGAGUUCAGGACACACCACCCCAAUAUAUGCCCAUUUGAUAUGCUGAUUACUUCAAACAGAGGGAACUCAGGGGAACAGUAAGUGCAGGGACUUUCUCUGACCUUCCCUUACCUGUCUGCACACGGAUCCUCCAAAAGGAACUCCAUUGUCAUGAAUCCCCUCCCCAGGAAUCUUCUCAAUCAGAGAAGAUGAGCUCAGAUCACAGGAGAGGAGACCGGAGGUUGACGUGAUGCCCAGACUGUCACCUAUUCUUCCGGGAAAACUUUUCUUAACUAAUAGACAAUCUGCAUAACAACUUUUAUUCACCAUACACCUCCUCCCUGCACCCUCCCAUAACUUAUGUCACCACCACCUCCCAAAAGCCCCAAGCCCCUCUUCUUUUCUGCAGGUCAGGAUGCUAUAUGAUAAGCUUCAAUCCUCUGACACUUCUUUAAAUCUCAUAUUUUGUGGGACUCUCACGUCUAAGUAUGUAAUUUUUUUUUUUUUUCUCGAGAUGGAGUCUCACUCUGUUGCCCAGGCUGGAG
rnacentral:lncRNA from 1 species